rnacentral:rRNA from 1 species
AUUGAACGCUGGCGGCAGGCUUAACACAUGCAAGUCGAGCGGAGCGAGGGUGCUUGCACCCUAGCUUGGCGGCGGACGGGUGAGUAAUGCUUAGGAAUCUGCCUAUUAGUGGGGGACAACAUUCCGAAAGGAAUGCUAAUACCGCAUACGCCCUACGGGGGAAAGCAGGGGAUCUUCGGACCUUGCGCUAAUAGAUGAGCCUAAGUCGGAUUAGCUAGUUGGUGGGGUAAAGGCCUACCAAGGCGACGGUCUGUAGCGGGUCUGAGAGGAUGAUCCGCCACACUAGGACUGAGACACGGCCCAGACUCCUACGGGAGGCAGCAGUGGGGAAUAUUGGACAAUGGGCGGAAGCCUGAUCCAGCCAUGCCGCGUGUGUGAAGAAGGCCUUUUGGUUGUAAAGCACUUUAAGCGAGGAGGAGGCUACUUAGAUUAAUACUCUGGGAUAGUGGACGUUACUCGCAGAAUAAGCACCGGCUAACUCUGUGCCAGCCGCCGCCGUAGUAAC